CUCCUCCGAGGCCGCCAGCCUCCCCCGCGGCGAGGCCCGGCUGCGCGGCGCUGCGCGGGGCGCGCAGGGUGAAGGAGGCAGGAGGAGGAGGAGGAGGAGGAGGAGGAGGAGGAAGGCUAGGAGGCGGCGGAGCAGCGGCAGGAGCAGGGCUCGGUGGGCAGAGGAGACGCGAGGAGAGGGAAGAAGAGGCAGCGCCAGCACCGGAGGGCUGCUCGGCGCCCCUGCUCCGGGGACGUGUCCCCGGGUGGCAGCAGCACGGCGACAGAUCUGCGAGCAGAGAGCUUACCUCCGGCAUGAGACCAGCAAGAAAAGGCAGCUCCUCGGCGAGAGGCAGUGCGAAGGCGAGAGAAGUUCAGGGAAGAAAAAAAAAAAUAGAAAGAGCGGCGGUGCGAAAAUCUGUAGCCUCGGGGGCUAGCCGCCAGCCCCUUUCAUUUCAAGCGCUUAUUGAUUUGCUGUUGUCAUCUUUGGCGACGCAGAAGGACACUUGAAAGAAUUUCUGAUGGGGCUCUGAUCUGAGAAACGAGGUGACCUGACCGGGCGCUCACCAAAUUCUUAAUUACCGCAUCAACUGCCUUAAAAAUAAAAACGGAGAGGGGGGAGGGAAGGGAAGAAGAAGGGGGGUGGUGUGUGUGCGGGGGGAGAAUCUUUGACAGCAGCACAGUUUGCUCACCGAGAACUUUUUUUAACCAUUCAGAAACUCCUCUUGCCUCCCGCUGCCACCGCUGCCAUCGCAGCCUUGCAUCCGUCGCCCCCUUCCCCCGCAGCCCCGAGCCGGGGUCCCAAGGGUGCGGGGUCCCAGGGGUGCGGAGAGGGGAGCACCCGUCCCCCCGGGCUGCAGGCAGCAGGUCGGAUGCAGAGGGGUGAGGACUAAAAAGAGGGAGAGGUCAGGACAAGGGGUGCGUGUGCGUGUCACACGCGAGCCUGCCACUUGUCUGCAGGGGGUAUCACCGAAACUGCAUGUAUAGGGCUUGAGGACGGGAGCCAAAAGGACGGCUGGGAUGAGGGAAUCAACACGAAAAACCUGUUACCGACGGCACGUCGAACGAGCAUCGUGCUCCUCAGUGUUGCUUGUACGCAGACAUACAGCGCUGACAGAUGUCAGCAGGGCUCUUCGGCAGGGCUGGAGAGAAAUAUGCUGCCUUGCUGCCUUUGUCCCACAUGGUGUGCACACACAGGAACAUUCCUUCUUCUUCCUGCUCUGGCUGCUGUUUCUCUAGGACAAUACAAACCAUCUUUUCUGGGUAUCUUCCCCCUCCCUCCUCCCUUCCUCUUUUUUUUUUUUUUUUUUUUUUUUUUUUUGUUAUAUAUGUGUUUGCUUUUUAUUUCAGUGUAAAGAAGCUGUGGGAUGGGAUUAGCACCUACCUUGGCCUCUCUCAUUCUGUCUACCCCACAGCAGCAUCUAGACCCAGGCUGCGAAUGCUCAGCAGGCUUUUGUUUAAUGUUUUGGCUAGCCUUGUUAGUUUUGUUGGGGCAUUGUCCUUUCUCAGCAAAUGCCAGUCCAACCAGUUCAUGUCUCCCCUCUGAGCAGGGCUGGUAACUUCCCUGUUGUCGGUGUGUGCCACCCGUCGGUGUGUGUCUCCAGUGGGUCAGCUGCUGAGCUAUGGCAACCAGAAUUGUCUGGUUAGACCCAAGCCUUACACUCUCUGUUGAGCCUCAGCUCCUCGAAGUCUGGUUUGUUCGGUGGCAACACUUAUCAAUAAGGAUUAGGCGGCCUAGCACUAGUUUUCAAGCCUCAUUGUAUGGCUUCAGUCAUUUGUGACAGGACUUUUCAGCCCAUAGCUUGCUCAUAUCCCGUGUCCAGCACAGUAUACUUAACAUGUCUGUCUGCUCUCUACGUGUCUGACUCUGCAAUACUGUCACUGGACUUCCUUGUCAAUAGUGUCAUGUUGUAGCCCAGGGAAUGAAUGAAACUACUUCUUGUUAUUUUAUAGGAGCUGGAUCCAAAUUUGGGGGAUUUGGGAGCUUAGCAGAGAAACCCUAGAAGGGGUGCCACUUAGAGUUUUUUGACAUGACUUUCUAUGCUGCUUUGAACAUCUCUUCCAAAGCUUACAGAAACCUGGGAUCUCUCUGUAGUUGCUAAAUUCAUUUUGAUCCACACUUGGUAAAAUUAGACCUUCUGCUAAGCGCUGCAGGUGUAGGCUGAAGGGGAUGUCACAUUUUUCAAAAAACAGGUAUAGCGCAACAGUGCUGCUACUGUUGGAGUGUCCCAGCUUACCGGCCUCUCUCUUGCUCUUGUCUGGAAAGCAUGCAGAUGUCACACCUUCUGUCUUCCACGGCGUGCAGGGACUCAUUCCUCAUGCUGUGAGUGCUUGCAGUAUUUGUGCUCACCCUCUUCAGAGAGCCUCUGUCACCCUUGUCACAUAACCGCUUCUCCUGUACUUUGGUUGCUUUUUUUUGGUGCCAUUCCAUCCCUCAAGCUGUAAAAUGUUCAGCCUAAAGUGUUCGUGUGUGGUACCUGGCUGUGGCCUGUAAAUGCUUCUGAAAGAGAAGAGGGAAAAUGAUGAUCCCAAAUCAUCUCUUGUUACAAAAGAGAGUAUUUCUUCUUACUUUUAUUUUGUUUGUUGGGUGUGAAGUAACUAUGAAGAAGCAUAUUGAAGAAGAUGAGGUAUAUAUGCAUCAUUUACACCUUGCUCUCCUCUCAUACAGUUUUGUGUUCAUCCAAUGUGAUGAUCUGUGUCCAGUCUGUUUGUGGUCUUUGGUGUCUGCUGAAUCGUAUGUUGCUAUGGCCAUAAAGGCAGAUGUGCACAGUAAGUAUCCACCUGAUUUCACGUUGUCCCUCACAGAAAAUAAUUUUCUCUUCUUUCUACUUUCCAACACUUUCAAGUUACCACUAGUCUAUGGUUUUUGGGUAAAAUGACUUGGGGCUGAAGAAUAUGUCAGAAAUCUUCCAUCCCUCACCACAGAUCUCUUCUCCCCACACACAAUUUCUCACUGAAGAGUCAGACAAGCCCGACCAAAUAACAUCAAAAUAAAAUUCUCAAAAAUGA